rnacentral:rRNA from 1 species
UACAGAGGUGGCAAGCGUUGUUCGGAAUUACUGGGCGUAAAGGGCGCGUAGGCGGUUCGUUAAGUCCUGUGUGAAAUCCCCCGGCUCAACUGGGGAACUGCACAGGAAACUAGCGGGCUUGAGUUCGGGAGAGGGAAGCGGAAUUCCGGGUGUAGCGGUGGAAUGCGCAGAGUAAUCAGGAGGAACAGCCGGUGGCGAAGGCGGGUCUCUGGGCAGUAACUGACGCUGAGGAGCGAAAGCGUGGGGAGCGAACAGG